GUACCAGCGGCAGGCGGGCAGCGGCCGCCCCUCCCAGCCCACCAGCUGGCCACUAAAAGCUCCCGGUUGCCAAGGACUUCCUUCUUAAGGUUUUGAUCAAGUUAGACGCACUGCUCAGAAGACAAAUGGCAUCACAGGACAGAUUUGAAAGAAGUUUUGAGAAAACAGCUGCAUUAGAAGACCAAGGGAGUUCCAGGAACAAGAUGAGAAGAGUAUUUUACUGUAUGGAACAUGUUCUUCAUUACGACUCUGGCAACUAAAACAGUCACUAUGGCUGGUUAUCAAUUAAGUCCCUAUCAAAAAAAGAAUAUCCUUUAGAUCUCCCUUUAAUGAGGAUAAAAUGUUUUUACACUGA
ensembl:processed_transcript Gm26871 predicted gene, 26871